GGAACAGUCUGUGGCUCAGUGGUAGAGUAUCUGCUUCGCACACAGAAGGUCUCGGGUUCAGUCCACACCAUCUCCA
rnacentral:tRNA from 1 species